rnacentral:rRNA from 1 species
GAUGAACGCUGGCGGCGUGCUUAACACAUGCAAGUCGAACGAUGAAGCCCAGCUUGCUGGGUGGAGUAGUUGCGAACGGGUGAGUAACACGUGAGUAACCUGCCCUUAACUCUGGGAUAGGCCUGGUAAACUGGGUCUAAUACCUGAUAGGAGCGUCCACCGCAUGGUGGGUGCUGGAGAGAUUUAGCGGUUUUGGAUGGACUCUCGGCCUAUCAGCUUGUCGGUGAGGUAAUGGCUCACCAAGGCGACGCCGGGUAGCCGGCCUGGGAGGGUGACCGGCCACAAUGGGACUGAGACAGGGACCAGACUCCUACGGGAGGCAGCAGUGGGGAAUAUUGCACAAUGGGCGCAAGCCUGAUGCAGCGACGCCGCGUGAGGGAUGACGGCUUUCGGGUUGUAAACCUAUUUCAGUAGGGAAGAAGCGAAAGUGACGGUACCUGCAGAAGAAGCACCGGCUAACUACGUG